UCCGGUUGAUCCUGCCGGACCUGACUGCUAUCGGAUUGGUACUAAGCCAUGCGAGUCAUUGUAGCAAUACAAGGCGGACGGCUCAGUAACACGUAGUCAACCUAACUCGUGGACGUGGAUAACCUCGGGAAACUGAGAAUAAACCACGAUAGAUCAUAGUGCCUGGAAUGGCUUAUGGUCCAAACAGUUUACUGCCAUGGGAUGGGACUGCGGCCUAUCAGCUUGUUGGUGAGGUAAUGGCCCACCAAGGCGAUUACAGGUACGGGCUCUGAGAGGAGAAGCCCGGAGAUGGGUACUGAGACACGGACCCAGGCCCUAUGGGGCGCAGCAGGCGAGAAACCUUAGCAAUGUGCGAAAGCACGACUGGGUCAGUCCGAGUGAUUCCUGAUAAAGGAGUCUUUUGCUUGUCCUAAAAGCACAGGUGAAUAAGGGGUGGGCAAGUCUGGUGUCAGCCGCCGCGGUAAUACCAGCACCUCGAGUGGUCAGGACGUUUAUUGGGCCUAAAGCAUCCGUAGCCGGCUUUGCAAGUCUUCGGUUAAAUCCACCUGCUCAACAGAUGGGCCGCUGGAGAUACUACAGAGCUAGGGAGUGGGAGAGGCAGACGGUAUUCAGUGGGUAGGGGUAAAAUCCUCUGAUCCAUUGAGGACCACCAGUGGCGAAGGCGGUCUGCCAGAACACGUUCGACGGUGAGGGAUGAAAGCUGGGGGAGCAAACCGGAUUAGAUACCCGGGUAGUCCCAGCUGUAAACGAUGCAAACUCGGUGAUGCAUUGGCUUAUGGCCAAUGCAGUGCCGCAGGGAAGCCGUUAAGUUUGCCGCCUGGGAAGUACGGACGCAAGUCUGAAACUUAAAGGAAUUGGCGGGGGAGCACCACAAGGGGUGAAGCCUGCGGUUCAAUUGGAGUCAACGCCAGGAAUCUUACCCGGGGAGACAGCAGAAUGAAGGUCAAGCUGAAGACUUUACCAGACAAGCUGAGAGGAGGUGCAUGGCC
rnacentral:rRNA from 1 species